AUUUCCUUUCCCGUGUUUUAAUAACUGGGCAACACGGCAGGUAUUAAUAAACCGUAGGCGACGCGACCAGCAUGAGUUUCAGGCAAACAAGUCGGAUCUGACGCUUUCAACAGGAAGUUUGCGCAGAGAUCAGCUGUGCGAGUGCCACAUUUGUGCAGCUGUCCCCAGAUGUUUACACUCACGAUGGAUGACUUGCAGUGAAAGCUUGUCAUUGCGGCUGUGAGAAGGGGUUUCAUUCUUCACAGUCCAAUAAGGCCUUGGAACAAGAGAAAGAGACCAGACUGACCUGUGUCUUCACAGUUACAUAGAAGAGCCCAUUAGGGUUAACAGGGGGGUUAAUUCAAC